rnacentral:lncRNA from 1 species
UCGACAUUAUAUUAAUUAAUUGAUCAAAUUUAAGUGUAUGCUAACCACUUCCUUUAGAUAUUAAGGAGAGCUUUCUUUUGAGGAUAAACUCUCUUAAUCUAUCUUAUUUUGUUCUAAUAAAAAAAAAUUUGAGUUUGUUUUACCCUUUUUGUUGACUUGUUUUCUCAUGACUCAUUUUUUAGUGAGGAGAUUUUAUUAUUAUUUUUUGAGAGAUUUUGUUUUCUCCGUUUGAGAGAUAUUUUUUGUUUUCGAUAUUUUUUUCAGUGUAUGAAUUGUUGAAGAUAGAUUAUUCAGAUUUAAAUGUGGCACUUCCCUUACGACUUGUUUUUCUAUUGUCACGCUGAAGAACGAUUCAAAUUUCUGUAUUCUAUUAUUUUGGUUAUAUAACUGUAUUUUAGGAGUUUAUUUGUUAUUUGAAACAAUUACUUUUUUUAGUUUUUUUUUUAUAAUUCUUUUAUCUUUUGUAAAUAUUAGAGUUUUAAUAAUUUUCGAUUUUUUGAAAGUUUGAUAAAAUUAAUCAAAUGUAUACCCCUUAUUUAAAGGGAGUGAACACGGAUAAAUAAGAUAAAGAAUAUGCACUUGAUAUAGUGGUGCACAAAUGGCCUGUGGCCUGGCCAUGAUCCGGCCUGAGCCCAACCCGGUCAAAGCCUGGACCGAUCAGACCUGGCCUGCUAGACCAAAAACAGACCAUGAAUUAAUGACUCAUAUCCAGCCUGGCACAGCCUUCAAUAAAAUCUGGCCUGCCUAGCCUACGGCCUGGUUGUAGCCUGGACCAACCUAAUAUUUAGGUUGGCCCGGCCUGCAUUCUACUUUGGCUUUAAACUUUAGUUGGUUAUUAUUAGCAAGUCUUUUUCUAAGGAAAUUCCUCCUUAUACUUGCUUCCCCUUUCAAU